AUGGCAUACAUCUCUCUCUAGUCUAUCCUCCUUCAGUGUCGCCAAUAAAUGCCCCCAACCUCCCGUCCCGCGUCGUCGCCUACUCGCUGCUUCAUUCAUCCAUCCAUCCAUUCAUCCAUUGAUGCGCUCAUCGCCGUCCGGUCGCUGCCCUGCUGCUGCUGCUGCUUCUUCUUCUUCUUCUUCUUCUUCUUCACGCCUCACUCUGUCGCUUCUUCCUCUGCAGCGUACGUGCUGGUGCUGCAAAAGGAAAGGAGCCGCGGCUCCAUCCAUCCAUCCAUCCAUCCAUGCAAGUCGUCUUCCUGCCGACCGGCCUGCCUGCCUCUAGUACAUUCGGGAUCGAUCGA
rnacentral:precursor_RNA from 1 species